rnacentral:guide_RNA from 1 species
AAUUAAACAACGUAAAUCGCAAUAGUAGAGAUGAAUGUAAAUUAAUAUAUAAU